rnacentral:rRNA from 1 species
UACGGUUACCUUGUUACGACUUCACCCCAGUCGCUGACCUUACCGUGGCCUGCUGCCUCCUAAGUUAGCACACAGUCUUCGGGUAAAACCAACUCCCAUGGUGUGACGGGCGGUGUGUACAAGGCCCGGGAACGUAUUCACCGUGGCAUGCUGAUCCACGAUUACUAGCGAUUCCAACUUCAUGCUCUCGAGUUGCAGAGAACAAUCCGAACUGAGACGGCUUUUAGAGAUUAGCUCCCCAUUGCUGAGUGGCUGCUCACUGUCACCGCCAUUGUAGCACGUGUGUAGCCCAGCCCGUAAGGGCCAUGAUGAUUUGACGUCAUCCCCACCUUCCUCCGGCUUAUCACCGGCAGUCCCUCUAGAGUGCCCAACUAAAUGCUGGCAACUAAAGGCGAGGGUUGCGCUCGUUGCGGGACUUAACCCAACAUCUCACGACACGAGCUGACGACAACCAUGCAGCACCUGUCACCGGUCCAGCCGAACUGAAGGAAAGCAUCUCUGCUAACCGCGACCGGGAUGUCAAAAGCUGGUAAGGUUCUUCGCGUUGCCUCGAAUUAAACCACAUGCUCCACCGCUUGUGCGGGCCCCCGUCAAUUCCUUUGAGUUUUAGUCUUGCGACCGUAGUCCCCAGGCGGGGUGCUUAACGCGUUAGCUGCGUCACCAAACAGCAAGCUGCCUGACAACUAGCACCCAUCGUUU